GAUCCUGGCUCAGAGUGAACGCUGGCGGCAGGCCUAACACAUGCAAGUCGAGCGGCAGCGCGUCCGACCACCCUCGGGUGGUCGGAUGGCGGCGAGCGGCGGACGGGUGAGGAAUGCAUCGGAAUCUGCCUCGUUGUGGGGGAUAACGUAGGGAAACUUACGCUAAUACCGCAUACGACCUACGGGUGAAAGUGGGGGACCUUCGGGGCCUCACGCGAUGAGAUGAGCCGAUGCCGGAUUAGCUAGUUGGCGGGUAAAGGCCCACCAAGGCGACGAUCCGUAGCUGGUCUGAGAGGAUGAUCAGCCACACUGGAACUGAGACACGGUCCAGACUCCUACGGGAGGCAGCAGUGGGGAAUAUUGGACAAUGGGGGCAACCCUGAUCCAGCCAUGCCGCGUGUGUGAAGAAGGCCUUCGGGUUGUAAAGCACUUUUGUUGGGGAAGAAACCGGCCGGGUUAAUACCCUGGUUGAAUGACGGUACCCAAAGAAUAAGCACCGGCUAACUUCGUG
rnacentral:rRNA from 1 species